rnacentral:rRNA from 1 species
CCUACGGGGGGCAGCAGUGGGGAAUAUUGGGCAAUGGGCGCAAGCCUGACCCAGUAAUGCCGCGUGAAGGAAGAAGGCUUUCGGGUUGUAAACUUCUUUGACAGGGGAAGAGCAGAAGACGGUACCCUGAAAACAAGCCACGGCUAACUACGUGCCAGCAGCCGCGGUAAUACGUAGGUGGCAAGCGUUGUCCGGAUUUACUGGGUGUAAAGGGCGUGUAGCCGGGAAGGCAAGUCUGAUGUGAAAUCUGGAGGCUCAACCUCCAAAUUGCAUUUGAAACUGUUUUUCUUGAGUACUGGAGAGGCAGACGGAAUUCCUUGUGUAGCGGUGAAAUGCGUAGAUAUAAGGAGGAACACCAGUGGCGAAGGCGGUCUGCUGGACAGCAACUGACGGUGAGGCGCGAAAGCGUGGGGAGCAAACAGGAUUAGAUACCCCGGUAGUC